rnacentral:rRNA from 1 species
CCUACGGGAGGCAGCAGUGGGGAAUUUUCCGCAAUGGGCGAAAGCCUGACGGAGCAACGCCGCGUGAGGGAUGAAGGCCUCUGGGCUGUAAACCUCUUUUCUCAAGGAAGAAGAUCUGACGGUACUUGAGGAAUAAGCCACGGCUAAUUCCGUGCCAGCAGCCGCGGUAAUACGGAGGGGGCGAGCGUUGUUCGGAAUUACUGGGCGUAAAGGGCGCGUAGGCGGCCUUGUCAGUCAGGCGUGAAAGCCCCGGGUUCAACCUGGGAUGUGCGCUUGAUACUGCAAGGCUUGAGACCGGAAGAGGAUGGCGGAAUACCCAGUGUAGAGGUGAAAUUCGUAGAUAUUGGGUGGAACACCAGUGGCGAAGGCGGCCAUCUGGUCCGGAUCUGACGCUGAGGAGCGAAAGCGUGGGGAGCAAACAGGAUUAGAUACCCUGGUAGUCCACGCCGUAAACGAUGUGUGCUAGAUGUUGGAGGGUUACCUUUCAGUGUCGCAGCUAACGCACUAAGCACACCGCCUGGGAAGUACGGUCGCAAGAUUAAAACUCAAAGGAAUUGACGG